rnacentral:rRNA from 1 species
UACGAAGGGGGCUAGCGUUGCUCGGAAUCACUGGGCGUAAAGGGUGCGUAGGCGGCUUUCUAAGUCAGGGGUGAAAUCCUGGAGCUCAACUCCAGAACUGCCUUUGAUACUGGAAAGCUUGAGUUCGGGAGAGGUGAGUGGAACUGCGAGUGUAGAGGUGAAAUUCGUAGAUAUUCGCAAGAACACCAGUGGCGAAGGCGGCUGACUGGUCCGGUUCUGACGCUGAGGCGCGAAAGCGUGGGGAGCGAACAGG